rnacentral:rRNA from 1 species
CCUACGGGACGCAGCAGUGGGGAAUAUUGCACAAUGGGGGAAACCCUGAUGCAGCGACGCCGCGUGAGUGAAGAAGUAUUUCGGUAUGUAAAGCUCUAUCAGCAGGGAAGAAAAUGACGGUACAUGAUUAAGAAGCCCCGGCUAACUAAGGGCCAGCAGCCGCGGUAAAACGUAGGGGGCAAGCGUUAUCCGGAUUUACUGGGUGGAAAGGGAGCGUAGACGGCAGCACAAGUCUGGAGUGAAAUGCCGGGGCUUAACCCCGGAACUGGUUUUGAAACUGUGCAGAUAGAGUGCAGGAGAGGUAAGUGGAAUUCCUAGUGUAGCGGUGAAAUGCGUAGAUAUUAGGAGGAACACCAGUGGCGAAGGCGGCUUACUGGACUGUAACUGACGUUGAGGCUCGAAAGCGUGGGGAGCAAACAGGAUUAGAUACCCCGGUAGUC